GAUUUUAAUAAAUAGUAGUAUUUAAAUGUGGUUUUUAUUAAAUAUUAUGGUUUUUAUUAAAUAUUAUGGGUUUUUGGUGGUAUAUAGUGUUUUGCUUUAUUUUUUGGUUUUAUUUAUUAGGUGUAAUUUAGUUUUUGAGUGAAGAUAACUUUAUGAAUGGGUUUUAUGGAUGAGCUUGUUUGUAUUUGAGGUAGAAUUAAUUGGAGUAGCUUUUUAAAUAGACUUCUGAUAAAUGUUAUUGAGGUUUUGUUUUUAUUUAUUGUAUGUAGGGAUUCAGAUUUGGGUGUUUUGUUGGAUGCAGCUUUUAAUAUUUAAAAGUUUUUUCUGUUUAGUUGUUUUAAGGUGGUUUUUAUUAUUUCACUGCGUAGAUUUAUUUUGUUUGUUGAUGGUGUAUGAUAAGGGAUACGGUCUAUUUAUUGAAUGCUAUAUUUCGUAUUUCAGGCGUUGAUCGGGUUGUUUUUAGACUGGGUUUUGUUGUGGUGUUUUUUUUGGUUUUUUUUUUAAUGGGGUAUGAUAUUUUUAAAGGAUAUACUUUCUAAGGCUUAUAAUGCUGUAAUGGGAUAUAACAUGAGGUACAGGGUAUGCUUUCAGUCAUUUAGUGGUGGUUUUUUUAUUGCAGUGAGUAUGUAGUGUUUGUUUUGGUUGGUUUGAGGUAGUGUGAUGUAGUUAAUUUGUUAGGAUUUUCUAAAAAUGUGGUUGGAUUAUUGUUUAUUAUAUUGCAAGGGUUUAUUUAUUUGGUUUGUUUGGUUACAGUAUAUGUUUGAUAGCUUCAGAUAAUUUGGGAGAUACUGUUCAUGGUUAAAUUGAUCUUUUGGUUUUGUGUGUAUUUGUAGGUGAUAUUUUUGUUUGAAUGGUUUGAGGUAUUAUGGGUUUAUUGAGUUAGGAAUAAUAUUUUUGGUGUUGUUAAUUUAAGUUUUUUGUGAUAUUUUUAUAUUUGUAGUAUGAUUUGUUUGUUGUUUUGGUGGGUCUUAUUUGUUUUAUUUUUGCAAACAUGGGUAGUGAUAUGAUGGAUUUUUUAGGUAGUUUUUUGAGGUAGUGACAUUCUUCUUUAGUAGUUUAGAUUUUUUCAUGUUAUUAAUUAGUUUGGGUUUUUUAGUUAAUUUUAUAGAGUAGUGGUUAUUAUUUAUGAGUUAGUAUAGGUGUUUUUUAGUUGUGUUUAGGGUCAGUUGUACAGUUUUGAGUUUAGCAAGUUGGAUUGAUUUAUCUCCUCUGCUAGUUUUUGUGAUUUGUUGUGUGGAAUUCUAUAUGGUUGUUUUUAGUUUUAGUUCUAUUUUUAUGAUGUGAUAAGAAUUGUUAGUGAAAAGAGUCUAGUGUUCUUUGUUUGUAUGGUGGAGUUUUUUAGUUUGUGUUUAUUUUUUGGUUUUUUGUUAAUGAUAAUAAAGUUUUUAUUUUGGGGUUAAUUCGUGAUUACUUGAAAGAUUUUAGGGACAUUUCGAUUUUUUAUGUGGGUGUGCUGUAUGAAGAGAGUAAUUUAUUUGUUUUUCAUUAUGUUGGUGGUGUGGUGGGUAGAGGGCAUUUUUGUAGUAGUUAUUUUAAAUGUUUGAAGGGUUUUGGCACUUAAAAUACUUGUUUUGAAGGAAGUUUGAAAUCUUUGGGGUUAGUUACAGUGGGAUUUUAAAAUUUUAUUUUUAAUUAGGUUUUUAAAGGUUUUAUUACAGUUAACAGUUGUGAUUUUUUUUGUUGUUUUAGUACUAGAAGUGAAUUUUGAUUUUGUAUGUAGUGAUGGGAUUAUUGUAUAUGGCAUACUAGUGUUGACUGGGAUUUAAAUUUCUGUGGUUCUGAUGUGUUAGGUUAAUAUGUUUAUGUAUUUCAAAACACGUGGGAUUUUGCUUUUUAUUUGGUUAGAGACAGGUCUUUUUAAGUUUAGUGGGAUUCUGGGCAUGUAUUUGAGGUCUUUUAAGAGAAUUGGUCAAGGGAUUAUUUUCAUUAUAUUUGGUAGUUUGAUUGUGGGUAAUCAGAGUUGGCUUUUUUUGGUGCAAUUUUUUUGAGUUUUCUUUUUUGAAGUUCAUGUAUUUGUGUGGUUAGGGCAGUGGUGUUUCUGGUGUAACUCUAAGCAUCCAUUGUUGUUUGUGUGUUCCAGCUGCUCUGCUCGUAUUACACUGAGACCCUCUCACAGAGCGGCCAACAGCUCUGCUGAGAUCGUGCCCUGAUGUUUGGUUUUCUUUGUGAGAGCUGACUGAGACACAGCAGCCCAGGGACAGCAGGAAAUUCCCUGAGGGCAGGACGGCCUUCCUUUGCACCCGACGCAGAUUCUUGACCCCGGAAGUCCCAGAGAUAAGUAGAGGGCUAUGAGCCACAGAAAGGAUGAAAGCAGGGUGCCGUGUGGGGACUCACCGGGAGGGGUCUGGAGUCAGCUCUGUGGACUGGGAUGGCCCAGAUGUGACACUUUAGGCCACAUCAAGGGAAAGUCUCUGUUUUGAUCACAGUGCUGAGGUGUGCAAGGCAGAGCAGUCCUAGGCCAUGUUGUCACUUGUCUGUUGUGCACUCUGUGUCUUUUGGGUGUCUCAUGUGUAAUGUCUUCUGCCUUAGCCCUUCGAGGAGCCUCUUGGAAACACCAGGCAUCAUUCUUAACAUCUCCCUAUUCCUCAGCUCAGCGCCUUUGACUCAGGAGCUCACACGCGCAUCAGAAUCGCAUCUCUCUUCAGAAGCAUCCAGUCCGAGGUCUUUUCAUGUCUUGUUCUGAGCUGUACUGACAGCUGUGCACCGCAAUGAUCCCUUAUGGCAGAUUAGGCCUUGUAAGAAUGCCGAGCUAGGUCGAGGUAUCUGACCGUAGGGUUCUCGGGCAUCCAUCUUUGCGGUUCUCGGAUGAAGCAGUUCUGUUGGCAUCUUCUUGCUGCCGGGUUCUUUGAGCCUCAUCGGCUCCCCAUCGGUCUUAGCUCAGUCAUCUCCUUCCUCAUUCUCUCGGCCCUCAGGGUCCUUCUUCUUGCCGAGCCUUUUUUCUGUCCCUGUUGUGUCCUUCUCAUUGGUGGUGUCCUGUGUCACAGGUGUCACGGUGUGCGUUUGGCCCUGCGCUGCUCUGCCCUGCUGCGUGGCCUGGGUGUAGGGGUAAUAGGACAUGUCCUGGGGACUUGAAAUUUGCAGUGUAGGGUGUAGUGGGAGUGUAGAGGGUAUUUCUAGAUGGGCACAAGAUGCCUGGAGCUUUUAAGUUAUCCUGCAGCACUCUGUUUUGUCCUAACUCUCUUUCAGAUGCGGAUGGAUUAGAUCCGUGGCGGAGGGCCCAUCCCCGGUGAGGGGCUUGGCCCCAAGCAGGAAGCAUGGCUGGGUUGCAGCAGUCAGGGUGAAGCAAACAAGGGGGUCCACUUGCAUCACGCCAAACUCCCCUCAGUGACCUGAUGACGGAGCCACUUAGCCUGUCUUGUGAGCCCUCGAGGACCAUGAUAGGACUCCGUGAUGAAGCCUCGAUCUUUUCUGUUUGAAGGCGCCAUCCGGGUAGACUGCGGUAAGGGCUGAGGAUUUGCGAUGGGUCUGGGAGGUAGGGAGGAGGAGCGAGGGUCCACUCAAGGUCAAGCCAUGCCGCAUCACCUCAUCUCCUCUUAACCCAGGUAU